rnacentral:rRNA from 1 species
UACGUAGGGGGCAAGCGUUGUCCGGAAUCAUUGGGCGUAAAGCGCGUGUAGGCGGCCCGAUAAGUCCGCUGUGAAAGUCCAGGGCUCAACCCUGGAAUGCCGGUGGAUACUGUCGGGCUCGAGUCCGGAAGAGGCGAGUGGAAUUCCGUGGUGUAGCGGUGAAAUGCGCAGAUAUCAGGAGGAACACCGAUGGCGAAGGCAGCUCGCUGGGACGGUACUGACGCUGAGACGCGAAAGCGUGGGGAGCAAACAGG